rnacentral:lncRNA from 1 species
CCCUCUUCUCUUGCCAUGGGCCCUCCCUUGGAUGUUCCCCUUGCUGGUGUGAUGCCCCUCUCUUCCCUCGUUUGGUUGGACUGUGAAGGUGUUUUGAUCAGAGGUCAUCCCGCUUUCCUACAUUGUCUGACGUGCAUGCGAAGUAGAGGGCCUGCAGUUCCAGGCCUACACGAAGGUUGAAUCCAGAUUCUGGAUAUUUGAUCUCCAAUUCCAUUGCAAUACAGAUUUGAUCCUUGUUCAUAUAGAUUUAUAAAAAAAUUUUAGAUGCAACUCUAGUUAUCUGCGAGAAAUAUGUUUCUUUUCCUUCAUCCGCAUCUCUACAAUGAUGGAAGAUCUCUAGACUUAAUAUCUAGUGAGAAGAUUUAGAUUUAGAUCUCUUCUAAAUCAGCAGAUCUGACAUCUGACUGAUCAAAUUUAGCUCAGCAUGUCAACAUGUCUAACCAGCCUAGUCGGUAUGGGUGAACUCGAGUCAACAGAUAAUCCAGCACGAAACUAAAUCUCCCAAGAUGGUCAGGUAAGUUAAGAUGAGUGGAGAUCCCCCGUUGCUUUCCUUAGAUACCAAUCUAAAUUAACUAGAUCAAUCAAUAGAACCAAUUAAAUAACCACCAUUUAAAUACUUGCCUUAUACAUCAAAUUGGUUGAUUAAAAUUGAUCAGGUUAACCUAUUGAAAUGUGCCCAAACUACUGAACCAAAUUCGAUCUUGAGUCUCAAUCAACUCAUAUCAAAAUAUGAAUCGAUGUGAUCAACUAUAACUAAAUUCGACUUUGAACCCCUUUGACCUAAUCCUAAUCAACCAUUGAUUAGGUUCAAUCAACUGCUCAAAAUCGAUAAUGAGUUCUAACCUGAUCUAAUCAAUUUGACCCUAAUUGUAG